CAAUAGCGUAUAUUAAAGUUGUUGCAGUUAGAACGCUCGUAGUCGGAUUUCGGGGCGGGCCGACCGGUCUGCCGAUGGGUACGCACUGGUCGGCGCGUCCUUCCUUCCGGAGACCGCCUCUGUUCUUAACUGAAUGGGUGCGGGAGACGGAUCGUUUACUUUGAAAAAAUCAGAGUGUUUCAAGCAGGCAGCUCGCUCUUGCAUGGAUUAGCAUGGGAUAAUGAAAUAGGACUUUGGUGCUAUUUUGUUGGUUUCGAACACCGAAGUAAUGAUUAAAAGGGACAGUCAGGGGCACUCGUAUUCCGCCGAGAGAGGUGAAAUUCUCAGACCAGCGGAAGACGAACCACUGCGAAAGCAUUUGCCAGGGAUGUUUUCACUGA
rnacentral:rRNA from 1 species